rnacentral:rRNA from 1 species
CCUACGGGUGGCAGCAGUGGGGGAUAUUGGACAAUGGGGGAAACCCUGAUGCAGCGACGCCGCGUGAGUGAAGAAGUAUUUCGGUAUGUAAAGCUCUAUCAGCAGGGAAGAAAGAAUUGACUGUCCCUGAGCAAGAAGCCCCUGCGAACUACGUGCCAGCAGCCGCGGUAAGACGUAGGGGGCAAGCGUUGGCCGGAAUUACUGGGUGUAAAGGGAGCGUAGACGGUAAUGCAAGUCUGGAGUGAAAGGCGGGGGCCCAACCCCCGGACUGCUCUGGAAACUGUGUAACUGGAGUGCAGGAGCGGCAGGCGGAAUUCAUGGUGUAGCGGUGAAAUGCGUAGAUAUUAGGCGGAACACCAGUGGCGAAGGCGGCCUGCUAGACUAUAACUGACGUUGAGGCUCGAAAGCGUGGGGAGCAAACAGGAUUAGAUACCCGUGUAGUC